rnacentral:rRNA from 1 species
CUGUCUUAUUUAUAAAAAUUGAAUUUAACUUUUAAGUGAAAAGGCUUAAAUGAAUGAAAGGGACGAUAAGACCCUAUAAAACUUUAUAUAAAUUAUAUUAUAUUUUAAAGUUGUAAGUUUAAUAAAUUGAAAUAUAUUAAUAUUUUAUUGGGGCGAUAAAAAUAUAAUUAAAAACUGUUUUAGGUUAGUCAGAUAUUAUUGGUUUAGAUGAUCCUUAUUUAAAGAUUAAAAGGAUAAGUUACUUUAGGGAUAACAGCGUAAUUUUUUUUGAGAGUUCAUAUCGACAAAAAGGAUUGCGACCUCGAUGUUGAAUUAAAAUUUCUUUAUAGUGUAGCAGUUAUAAAAGAAGGUCUGUUCGACCUUUAAAUUUUUA